rnacentral:ncRNA from 1 species
CUAUGACACAUCGUCAUGGCGGAAGGAG